rnacentral:lncRNA from 1 species
AUUCAGUCAGCCGUCCUGUCCCAAUCCGUUAGUAGAGUAUUCAGCCAGCCGUCCUGUCCCAGUCCGUUAGUAGAGUAUUCAGCCAGCCGUCCUGUCCCAGUCCGUUAGUAGAGUAUUCAGCCAGCCGUCCUGUCCCAGUCCGUUAGUAGAGUAUUCAGUCAGCCGUCCUGUCCCAAUCCGUUAGUAAAGUAUUCAGCCAGCCGUCCUGUCCCAGUCCGUUAGUAGAGUAUUCAGCCAGCCGUCCUGUCCCAGUCCGUUAGUAGAGUAUUCAGCCAGCCGUCCUGUCCCAAUCCGUUAGUAGAGUAUUCAGCCAGCUGUCCUGUCCCAGUCCGUUAGUAGAGUAUUCAGUCAGCCGUCCUGUCCCAAUCCGUUAGUAAAGUAUUCAGCCAGCCGUCCUGUCCCAGUCCGUUAGUAGAGUAUUCAGCCAGCCGUCCUGUCCCAGUCCGUUAGUAGAGUAUUCAGCCAGCCGUCCUGUCCCAAUCCGUUAGUAAAGUAUUCAGCCAGCCGUCCUGUCCCAGUCCUAAAGUAUUCAGUCAGCCGUCCUGUCCCAGUCCGUUAGUAAAGUAUUCAGCCAGCCGUCCUGUCCCAGUCCGUUAGUAGAGUAUUCAGCCAGCCGUCCUGUCCCAAUCCGUUAGUAGAGUAUUCAGUCAGCCGUCCUGUCCCAGUCCGUUAGUAGAGUAUUCAGUCAGCCGUCCUGUCCCAAUCCGUUAGUAGAGUAUUCAGUCAGCCGUCCUGUCCCAAUCCGUUAGUAAAGUAUUCAGCCAGCCGUCCUGUCCCAGUCCGUUAGUAGAGUAUUCAGCCAGCCGUCCUGUCCCAAUCCGUUAGUAGAGUAUUCAGCCAGCCGUCCUGUCCCAAUCCGUUAGUAGAGUAUUCAGUCAGCCGUCCUGUCCCAGUCCGUUAGUAGAGUAUUCAGCCAGCCGUCCUGUCCCAGUCCGUUAGUAGAGUAUUCAGUCAGCCGUCCUGUCCCAAUCCGUUAGUAAAGUAUUCAGCCAGCCGUCCUGUCCCAGUCCGUUAGUAGAGUAUUCAGUCAGCCGUCCUGUCCCAGUCCGUUAGUAGAGC